CGAUGGACAGCAGGUUAAUAUUCCUGCACCGUCUUAUUGUCUAUUGGUACUGACGCAUUCCGUCGGUCCGAACGUAUUCUGACUACAUGCGUUGCUGUCCGCCGCAAGGUGGAUAGCAGCAGGCUACGGCGCAAGCCACAGCCAAUUCGGAUCCCAGGAGUGCCAAGAAAAGGUACCAACCCAAUCAGUAGGACGUCCGUACCGUAAACCGACACCGGUGAACGGGCGCGCAGAAGCGCUCAGGUGUACGAGAAAACCCUCGUUUAGGAACUCGGCAAAACAGCGGCCGUACCUUUGGUAUAUGGCCUGCCCUCCUCGUGAGGGCCGCAGCGAAUGACUCCAAGCGACUGUUUACCAAAAACACAGGUCCCUGCUAAAUCGCAAGAUGAUGUAUAGGGGCUGAUGCCUGGCCAGUGUCAGAACGUUAAGGCAAGGGGUGCAAGCCCUGAACCGAAGCGCUGACGAACGCCGGCGGUAACUAUAACCGUCCUAAGGUAGCGAAAUUCCUUGUCGGGUAAGUUCCGACCUGCACGAAUGGCAUAACGAUUUGGAGACUCUCUCAACGAGGGACUCGGCGAAAUUACAAGACUCGUGAAGAUGCGAGUUACCCGCGGUUAGACGAAAAGACCCAGUGAAGCUUUACUACAACUUGGCAUUGGAUUAGAGUUACCUCUGCUUAGCAUACGUGGGAGACUUUGAAGGUCGCCUUCUGGGGCGACUGGAGUCGCAAUAUGAAAUACCACGCUGAUGUGAUUUUAAUUCUAACCUCGACCCGUAUACCCGGGUUCGGGACAGUGUCUGGUGGGUAGUUUAACUGGGGCGGUUGCCUCCUAAAUGGUAACGGAGGCGUUUAUUAAGGUAGGCUAGGCAUGGAUGGAAAUCAUGCCGGUAGUGCAAACGCAUAAGCCUGCUUGACUGCAAGGGCAGCGACCCGCGCAGGUACGAAAGUAGAAGUUAGUGAUCCGAUGCGUUCGAGUGGAAGACGCAAAGCCCAACGGAUAAAAGUUACUCUAGGGAUAACAGGCUGAUCUUCUCCAAGAGUCCAUAUCGACGAGAAGGUUUGGCACCUCGAUGUCGGCUCAUCGCAUCCUGGGGGUGAAGAAGCUCCCAAGGGUUCUGCUGUUCGCAGAUUAAAGCGGUACGCGAGCUGGGUUCAAAACGUCGUGAGACAGUAAAAGGAAAGCCAUGCUGUCUAUAAAUCGAGCUAUAUGCUGGAAACUCUGGUGUAUCCAAGUGUACUUUGCUCUAAUAAGCCAAAUUAAUGGUUUAAUGCAAAGUGAUAAUCGCUUGGUGCAGACAACCAGCAGGAAAGCCUAAAAAUAUAUGAAUAGAGGCGAAAGCAGAGAAUUACCAGGCCAGAGAAUUGCUUAUGGAAUUUGUUUCAAGAAAAAAUUGGAGCAGAUCACAAAAGCAUGGGAGUUACUGCUCCUGAUGGUAAAUUUUACCGUUUCGAAAACGGUGAACAA
rnacentral:rRNA from 1 species